UUUUUUUUUCCCAAUUACUUAGGCUUCUUUGACUUACAGUUAUUUUUGUAUAUAUGCCACCCACUUAGCAUCUUUAGAGCUAAAUUAAGGGAGCUCCUGAUCUGAAAAGUGUGACCCUUUUGCUUUCAGUGGAGCCUCAUAUUCCUCAUGAGCCUCCUUGUCUCUUCACUUUGGCCGGAUCCUCUAUAGUUGGGCAGAGGGAUUUCGCCAGAUUCAAUCAUGUUGAGAUCCCUGACAAGGGCCUCAUAAUGCCUCCUCACAUCCUCCACGCUCUUCCCAUCA